GUCUACGGCCAUACCACCCUGAAUACGCCUGAUCUCGUCAGAUCUCGGAAGCAAAGCAGGGUCGGGCCUGGUUAGUACUUGGAUGGGAGACCACCUGGGAAUACCGGGUGCCGUAGGCU
rnacentral:rRNA from 1 species